UACGUAGGGUGCGAGCGUUGCCCGGAUUUAUUGGGCGUAAAGGGCGCGCAGGCGGCCACGCACGUCCGUUGUGAAAUCGCCCGGCUCAACUGGGCGGGGUCGGCGGAUACGGCGUGGCUGGAGCAAGCUAGGGGGUAGUGGAAUUCCCGGUGUAGUGGUGGAAUGCGUAGAUAUCGGGAGGAAUACCAGUGGCGAAGGCGGCUACCUGGGGCUUUGCUGACGCUGAGGCGCGAAAGCGUGGGGAGCGAUCCGG
rnacentral:rRNA from 1 species